UGGUAUUAAAACAAACCAGUCAAGUAGAAAAUUGAUUAAUUUAUUGGAUAAAAUUAUGUGGGCAGGACUGAGAGAUCUACCUAGCUAGUAAUAUUAGACGGAAUAUUAAAAACGGGGAAUAGUACAAUAGAACUUGAAUUCGUCGGUAUAUCUAUUGUAUAUUUGGGUAUAUUUCUGAUGGUCGGACAUUAUAUUUUAACAAUAAAUCCGCGGCACACUUUUGUUUAGCUUCCGAAUAAAUAUAUUAUUAAGUGAAAUGGAGGCUAUUUUAAAUACGCAGUUUCAGCAGCUGGAAGAUAUCAUCGGGGAAAUAUUAAAAGUAAAAAAAGAGCGGGCAGAACUCAGACACAUUGCGAACUGCGGCGGCAUUGAAAUUUGUUGCAUUAAAGCAUGCAAAUCGAGAAGUUAAACAGAAAAUAAAGUCUGGACGGGAUAACUUACACUUGGAAAAAUGUAAAGUG